rnacentral:lncRNA from 1 species
UAGCCACAGGGUUCUUUAGAGGCCACUUUCUUCAAGUCUCUAAUUUUGCAUAUGAGAAACACUAAGACUCGGCAGAUAAGGAUGGAGGCGACUCAACAUCACAGGUCAUCUGGGACCCAUGGUUUCUAACUUCUAGACCGAAUCUCUUUCUUUCGAAUGUCCAGAUCAUCUCCUUCUUCUACAAACCAAAGAGGCCUCUGCAUGCCUCUCCCUGGAUAUGAGCCCUGCAUUUCUGAAUGCCUUGAAAGAAAAACCAGCAAGUUGGGAGGGCUGUGUCUCCUUAUCGUCUUCCAGGAAUUCAAAACCGUGAUUUCCAGUUUCCAAAUGCAACUCAAACUCCAUCACCCUGUACAUCUUGCACGGUUUCUCCAGCAUAUUCUGAUCACCACCUCCAGACCCUUCUGAUAGAUUCAUUACCUGAAUCUGUUUGAUCCUGAACUCCUGCUCUCCCUUGGCUCAACCUCAUCACAGCCAGAAAGGAUGAGAGCUCUUUAAUGAAGUGGAUACAUGUCAGUUUCCCAGGACACAAACCAAAGUA